rnacentral:rRNA from 1 species
UCGAACCCUGCAAAGCAGAACGACCCGUGAACAUGUAACAACAACUGAGCGUCGGGUUUAUUGGGCACAUGCCUGGUCUUCCCGGUGCUUAGCCGAUGCGCGCCUGUCUCGUGUCUUUCGGGGACGCUGUGGACGUGUCAUUGGCAUAAUAACAAACCCCGGCACAAUGUGUGCCAAGGAAAUCUAAACUUAAGAAGGCCCGUCUCAUGUUNGCCCCCGUUCGCGGUGUGCUCGUGGGAUGUGGCGUCUUUGUAAAUCGCGUCGCCCCCCGAAUCCGCUCCUUUUAAAGGAUGCGAUGUCUGGGGGCGGAUAUUGGUCUCCCGUGCUUACGGCGUGGUUGGCCAAAAUAGGAGUCCCCUUCGAUGGACGCACGACUAGUGGUGGUCGUAAAAACCCUCGUCUUUUGUCGUGCGUUGUUAGUCGCAAGGGAACAGCUCUUCAAGUACCCCAAUCGUCGUCUAUUGGCGACGCUUCGACCG